CGCGAGUCUGCUGAUGCUCCCGGCCAAAUAAAAACCUCUUCCUUCUUUAAUCCAGUGUCUGAGGAGUUUUGUCUGUGGCUCGUCCUGUUACAUUUCUUGGUUCCCUGACCGGGAAGCGAGGUGAUUAAGGGAUGGUCCAGGCAGCCCCUUAGUUAGCUUAUGUCUGCCCUGUAGAGCAUCCCUGCAGGGGACUCUGGCCAGCUUGAGCAACACGGAUCCUAAGAGCGCUCCCGGGUAGGCAUUUGCCCCGGUUGAACACCUCACCAGAGCAGCGCACAGCAGGCCCCCGCGGAGGAUCAACGCAGUGGCUGAACACCGGGAAGGAACUGGCACUUUAAGUCUGGACAUCUGAAACUUGCUAGAGCCCUGUCGAGCAUAACUGUGUAGAGGUGUUGGACUCAAGUUUACUCUAGCAGACCUGACCUCCAGGACCAGCCUUGGGCAUCAGUAAACUGGGAGCUAUACGUGGACGGGAACAGCUUCAUCAACCCACAAGGAGAGAGAUGUGCAGAAUAUGCGGUGGUAACCCUGGACACUGUCGUUAAGCUGAGCUGAUUGCUUUAAUUCAGUCCUUAGAACUCAGUGAAGUUGCAGGUGUUGUGUCUUGGAUCCAUCACAGUCAGCUAACACUGGCAGCUCAGGACAAGUGGACCAGCCAGCAGGAUGCAGAUCACCCAACCUGGCUGAUCCUGAGACGAGACCAAGCUGCUGCUGAGGACGACAGCCCUGCUCUGGUCACUCCGGAGGCUGACCAGUCUACGCACGGCCGAAGCUUGAGGACUCAUCGAGCAAGUAAAUGUAGUUAAAAAUCUUAAGACUAAUAGUUUUCCUGUAAUACUAACUGUUUUCCUAUUGUUCGGUCGCUGUAUUCAACCUUUUUCCCAGGUAAGGACCUCUUUUGUCCUUGCUGGAUACGAAUAUGCUGUACAUUGUUUUGUUGUUGUUAACCCCCAUAACCAUGUUAGAAGAAACACCUAUAUAAGGUGUCCCCACUGUACACAUACUACUUAGGAAACCCAGACCUGUCCAGCCCAGUAACAAUUCUGAGUCUUUCAGUCAUUCUUUAAACAUAUAAACCAGAAGUUACCAGAACCUCCUCCUUUAGCAAAAACAGAAAAAACCUAUUUGCUCAGCUGGCUGAAAACAUUGCUAGCUGCCUAGAUGUUUCUUCAUGUUAUGUUUAUAAAAAGGCUAACAUAAGAGACCAAUGGCCUUGAGAAGCAAAAGAGUUAAUGCCUCAAGAUAACUUUAACUAGCUCUUUCCCCAAACAGAUGCCACAAGUUCAAGCAUCUGGCUCUUAAAACUUCUAUUAUUAAAAAAUACCAUGUUACUCACUAGGAAAAAGCUUUUAAGACACAGUAAAAAGAACUAACCUGCUUAAGGCAUGACAAAGUUGGUACAUGUGCAUAUACAGGUUUAACACAGGUCUGAUCCUAGGUGUUCAUUUAGAACAUAGUUUCCAGCUGUAAGAAAAUUUAAAACCCUCAUUGUAAGUGUAUUACUAGUAAUAGGAACUUGCUUGCUGCUCCCCUGUAUAUUAUAUUUGCUCCUUCAAAUGAUAAAAGGUUUUGUAGCUACCAUGGUUCAGCAGAAAACUUCAACACAAGUAUAUUACAUAAAAUACUAUCACUCUGUCUCACAAAAAGACUCAAAAAGUAAAAAUAAAAGAACUCCCACUGAUUAGUGAAAAUUCUCAAAGGGGGAGAUAAGGAAGGAGACCACUACUACUCCUGCUGCCCUCCUCUCCCCACCUUGCCUAGUUCGCAAGACAGGAGGAGAGAAAAACAAAAAGUUGGAAAAAAAACAAAAGUAAGAUAAACAGCCAGACAACCUUGGCACCACCACCCGGCCUUAGGAGUUAAAAAAAGUAAUAAUGAUAACCUCAACCCCUGACCUAAACUACUUGUGUUGUCUGUAAAUUUCAGACACUGUAUGAAAAAAAGCAUUGUAAAACUUUUUGUUCUGUUAGCUGAUGCAUAUAGCCCCCAGUCAUGUUUCCCAUGCUUGCUUGAUGUACCACGACCCUUACACGUGGACCCCUUAAAGUUGUAAACCUUUAAAAAGGCCAAGAAUUUCUUUUUCGGGGAGCUCGGCUCUUAAGACACGAGUCUGACAAUGCUCCUGGCCGAAUAAAAACCUCUUCCUUCUUUAAUUCAGUGUCUGAGGAGUUUUGUCUGUGGCUCGUCCUGCUACAAUAAAAGGUUAAAAAGAGUCUAUAAAAUCUUACCUUAUGGUCAAACAUUAAAAAUUAGAUAAAUAUGUCUACAAGGUUUUAUUAAAAUUAAGUUUAACAUUAAUAACACACUAAUAUAAAAAUAAAAUUUAGCUUAUCUGGUAUAAAAAUCACACGAGAAGCACUGUUAAGUGUAAAAUGGUAUUUGGCUUUCUUUGGUUUAAAAAGUAAUAAACAUUUUUCUCAGUAAAAAGGCACUAAGGAAUAUAAAGUCCACUGCCAAGGUCCC
rnacentral:lncRNA from 1 species